GCUGGCGGCGUGCCUAAAUACAUGCAAGUCGAACGAAGCACCUCGGUGCUUAGUGGCGAACGGGUGAGUAACACGUGGGUAACCCGCCCUCAAGACGAGGAUAACCGUUGGAAACGAUGGCUAAGACUGGAUAGGAUACGGAGGCAUCUUCUGUAUUUUAAAAGACCUGGCAACAGGUAUGCUUGAGGAGGGGCCUGCGGCGCGAUUAGUUAGUUGGUGAGGUGAUGGCUCACCAAGACGAUGAUGCGUAGCCGGACUGAGAGGUUGAACGGCCACAUUGGGACUGAGAGACGGCCCAAACUCCUACGGGAGGGCAGCGAGUAGGGAAUUUUCGGCAAUGGGGGAAACCCUGACCGAAGCAACGCCGCGUGAACGACGAAGUACUUCGGUAUGUAAAGUUCUUUUAAGAGGGAAGAAUGGCCCGUGGAAAAGCGGGCGUGACGGUACCUUUUGAAUAAGCCCCGGCUAACUAUGUGCCAGCCGCCGC
rnacentral:rRNA from 1 species